rnacentral:rRNA from 1 species
UUAAAUUGAAGAGUUUGAUCAUGGCUCAGAUUGAACGCUGGCGGCAGGCCUAACACAUGCAAGUCGAACGGUAACAGGAAGCAGCUUGCUGCUUUGCUGACGAGUGGCGGACGGGUGAGUAAUGUCUGGGAAACUGCCUGAUGGAGGGGGAUAACUACUGGAAACGGUGGCUAAUACCGCAUAACGUCGCAAGACCAAAGAGGGGGACCUUCGGGCCUCUUGCCAUCAGAUGUGCCCAGAUGGGAUUAGCUGGUUGGUGAGGUAACGGCUCACCAAGGCGACGAUCCCUAGCUGGUCUGAGAGGAUGACCAGCCACACUGGAACUGAGACACGGUCCAGACUCCUACGGGAGGCAGCAGUGGGGAAUAUUGCACAAUGGGCGCAAGCCUGAUGCAGCCAUGCCGCGUGUAUGAAGAAGGCCUUCGGGUUGUAAAGUACUUUCAGCGGGGAGGAAGGUGUUGUGGUUAAUAACCGCAGCAAUUGACGUUACCCGCAGAAGAAGCACCGGCUAACUCCGUGCCAGCAGCCGCGGUAAUACGGAGGGUGCAAGCGUUAAUCGGAAUUACUGGGCGUAAAGCGCACGCAGGCGGUCUGUCAAGUCGGAUGUGAAAUCCCCGGGCUCAACCUGGGAACUGCAUUCGAAACUGGCAGGCUUGAGUCUUGUAGAGGGGGGUAGAAUUCCAGGUGUAGCGGUGAAAUGCGUAGAGAUCUGGAGGAAUACCGGUGGCGAAGGCGGCCCCCUGGACAAAGACUGACGCUCAGGUGCGAAAGCGUGGGGAGCAAACAGGAUUAGAUACCCUGGUAGUCCACGCCGUAAACGAUGUCUACUUGGAGGUUGUGCCCUUGAGGCGUGGCUUCCGGAGCUAACGCGUUAAGUAGACCGCCUGGGGAGUACGGCCGCAAGGUUAAAACUCAAAUGAAUUGACGGGGGCCCGCACAAGCGGUGGAGCAUGUGGUUUAAUUCGAUGCAACGCGAAGAACCUUACCUGGUCUUGACAUCCACAGAACUUUCCAGAGAUGGAUUGGUGCCUUCGGGAACUGUGAGACAGGUGCUGCAUGGCUGUCGUCAGCUCGUGUUGUGAAAUGUUGGGUUAAGUCCCGCAACGAGCGCAACCCUUAUCCUUUGUUGCCAGCGGUUAGGCCGGGAACUCAAAGGAGACUGCCAGUGAUAAACUGGAGGAAGGUGGGGAUGACGUCAAGUCAUCAUGGCCCUUACGACCAGGGCUACACACGUGCUACAAUGGCGCAUACAAAGAGAAGCGACCUCGCGAGAGCAAGCGGACCUCAUAAAGUGCGUCGUAGUCCGGAUUGGAGUCUGCAACUCGACUCCAUGAAGUCGGAAUCGCUAGUAAUCGUGGAUCAGAAUGCCACGGUGAAUACGUUCCCGGGCCUUGUACACACCGCCCGUCACACCAUGGGAGUGGGUUGCAAAAGAAGUAGGUAGCUUAACCUUCGGGAGGGCGCUUACCACUUUGUGAUUCAUGACUGGGGUGAAGUCGUAACAAGGUAACCGUAGGGGAACCUGCGGUUGGAUCACCUCCUUACCUUAAAGAAGC